GAAAUCGUAGUUAUCUCAACAGGUAAAGGACUGUACAUUUUUCCUAAAGUUAAUAGCAUACCCUUCAAUGUCUCUUCAUUAGUCAGCCUCUAAUAAAAUCCUAUUAAGCACAUGAUAGUUGAAUUUUUGAAUUGAACAGCGUAAUUUCUCUAUAGAGGGAGAGAUUUAGAGAAAUUGAUAAAAACACGAAAAUACACUGGCCCAAAUUCACUUAUUAUUAUUUUUUUUUUUAUAAAUACACGUACAAGAAUCUUAUUGAUCUCUCCGGUCGUUGAAUUGUACGCUCAUAUUCAAUUUUGACGCUGAAUUGUAAUUUUUAUUCAACACCCCGUGGCCUAUUUUCCUUCCGCCCUGAUGAUUGAUGGUUGAGUUGCACCUGUGUUAUCGGAAAUUUCGAGGAAUCGUGGUUUUUGAGGAAUAUUUGUUCAGAAGGGCUGAAAUUUUUUGGUUUUGCUUGUAAAUCAAUUUUGAUGAGUUUUUUGGGUGUUGUUGAAGAGUGAAUUACUUUUGGAGUUCAUGAGAAAAUGAGCACCCAAAGACAAUCGGUGCGCGUCCGUGACCUCGUGGAGGAAGCUAAGAAGCGGAGUGUUUUUUUCAUCGUAUGCCUUUUUGGACUGUCCUAUCUCAUGUCCUGUAAGUGAUUCAUUGUUUGUCCAAUAUUUUCUAUUUUAUUGCUACUUUUUAUGGAGAUUAUGACUCUUCUGUAGCCUUUUUUCUCUUGAAAAUUUUGAAGAUUGAGCAUUGCAUUUGAAUGAUACUAUGAACUGAGGAUAGUUAAGCGCCUGUUUCACUGGGCUUAGAGUUUGAAGCAUUGGGAGGUCAAAAUUUGUUGAGUUUAUGGAGCUUUAUAUUGCACCAAUGUGAAGUUUCGUCUCCAAUUAGGAAUUUAGCAAGUCAAUAUCAAAAUAAUUUGUUAGCUUUUGUGAUCCUUCAUUUAACAUUCCUUUCCUCUAUGAAGUAACCAUUAGAUUUUUGUAAGUCUGGAUCUAUAUUUAUUGUACAACCUCAUUUGCUAGUGGUAAAUGUAGCGUCACAUUUUUCUAUUCAGUAAAUUAUGGAUGUUCUGAGGAUUUUUAAUAUCCGAGUAUGUAAUUUUUUUCCUAGUUUUGUAACACGAAAAGAUAAAAAGCCUGAAGAAGCAAGAGCGAUGCUAUCCGGUACAAGAGGUUAGUAGAGGGAGUAGACCAAAAUUAGCAUGACCAUAUGUGAUUGUUAGAUUGCAUGGAUCUUCCAUUAAAUUUAGUGAUAGACUAAACAUAAUGGUGGAAAAAGAUUCGUAAAACUGACCCAUAUUUAAGGAACGGCUUUGAUGUUGGACGUCAUAUUACUACUAUUCUGAAUUCCUUGUGCCAAGAUGCUUUCACUUAAAAUAGUGUUUGAAAUCUAUAUUUUUUCAUGGUAUGGGUUUAUUUUUGUGCAUGUGGAGAAAUUGUAUCAACUUUUCAAAAUCCUUGCAGGUGAUUGUUGCAUAGUAUCCGUUAUAAUUAUUUACGUUCUCCUCUUGUUCAAAAUACCUAAUUACUUAUUUCAAAAUAAGCAUCAAGGCAAUCAUUAAACUAAGGUGUCAAGUGAUUGAAUUCAAAAGGGACAAUCGGUUGUAACAUCCUGAUACAAAUUAUAUACACUAAAUCCCUCAAUAUGGAAAUUGGAUUUGUUAUGUAAAUUGUAUGGAUGGGAAGAUUUGCUCUAUAUUUACUUCCUUUGCUUUGCUAACAUUGUGCACACACCAAUAUUUAGUUGAUUUCGAAUAUACAACAUUAUGUUACGCAGGUAGUAAUUAUAUAUAUAUAUAUAUAUAUAUAUAUAUAUACACACACACACCAUGGGUGUCUGAGCCAACUUACGUACACCUCGACUAAUUCCACAAAGCCCUGAAGUUUAUAGUCGGGUACUCACUUCAGUGGCCCUUAGAGGAUUCAAACUGGUGACCAUUGGGGAGCAAACCCAAUGCUUGACCACUGAUCUACCUCAUAGGAUUAGUAAUUAUAGAUAUAUUACCAAUUGGUUUUCCGUUAAUUCGCAUAAUUAGGAUUUUGGAUUAAUAUUCUUCUAUUUCCACAUUUAUCAUUUCUAGUUUCUUGUUUUGGGGCUAUUUUUCACUUUUUCUCAUCCAAAUAAAUGUAUAAAUGUUAACUUAUAAAUGUGUAUGGUAUUUUCCAUGAUUAUUCAUGCCAUAACUCAAUGAUGUCACUGCUAAAUGCCAACUUUUACUAAUGGCAACAUGGGAUAAGUGUGUUAUUACUGUUCUGCAUCCAACUUUCAUAGUUUACAUAUAGGACUUGCCUUAGAAACAGAAAUGUGCGCCCUUCACAUUUUAGACUCAAUGUGGGACCUUUUUGUAAUGCUAAUUGUCAUAUACAGUUUGAGUUGAGAUCUACUGUUCAAAAUUGGUUGUCCGACUUGCUAUCCCAAUGAUACAUUAUUUUACACAUAUAUUUUAGCACAAGUAGCAGUGAGAAAGAAAAGUUGGAGAUGUUAAUUUAAAGUGAUGUAUCAAUAAAUCAUUGGUUGGACAACAAGUUAAAAAGCCAAUUUUGGACAACAAAUCUCAACUCAUAUAGUUUACUCACAAAUAAUCCCCAUCAUCCCAUGACCCAUUUAUAUCUGUAUUUGACUUUUUUGUCUUUAUCUUCUGUUUCUGCCCCCUUAACACCCCCCCCCCCCCCCCCAACCAGGCAUCAACCUUUGAGUUUUUAUCUUACUCUUUUCUCUCUUCCCAGUGACAAGCUCUUCGGUUCUAAUCAAUUUGCCUGCUGCCGCAUUUUUAAUAAUAACACUUCGCUACUUUUCUCUGGAUUUGGAUAUGCGGAGGAAAACAGCAACUUACAAAGGAAAUCCAAUAUCCGCAAACUAUUCUUUCAAGAGAGAACCUUUUGAUGAUCCUCGAGUUAUUGCUGAGAAGUCUGAUUGGAAGCUCAAAGUGAAUUCCCCUGUUGUUGAAGAUGCAAUUGACCAGUUCACUAGACACAUUGUCUCAGAGUGGGUAACAAAUCUCUGGUACUCUCGCAUAACUCCUGAUAAAAAAGGUCCAGAAGAGCUUGUGCAGAUCAUGAAUGGUGUUCUUGGGGAAAUUUCAUGUCGUAUGAGAAAUGUUAAUCUCAUAGAUCUUUUGACAAGGUUUUAUUUCCAGAGAUUUUACUGAUCAAAAUUUUAUUCACUGAGAUAUCUUCUGGAAGGUACUUAACGGAAGUACCUUGCUUGGUGUGGUGCAGGGAUAUUAUUAAUGUAGUAUGCAAUCAGUUGGAGCUUUUUCGCACAGCUAAGACAAAGAUUGAGAAACAACAAUCGAGAGUUUUAAGUAUUGAAGAGAGAGACGUCAAAUUAAAAUUUGUGCUGGCUGCAGAGAACAAAUUACACCCUGCUUUAUUUUCUGCUGAAGCUGAGCACAAGGUUAUUUCUUCUCUUUUCUUUUUUUUCUUUGUCCUCUUCUUGCACUCCAUAAUUUAUAGCUUCUUAAUGACACAAGGUUACUGUGGUUAACAAUUUUUUGUUCUGAAUGCUUGUUAGGUUCUCCAACAUGUUAUGGAUGGUCUUAUUAUGUUUACAUUCAAGCCAGAGGAUCUGCAGUGCUCCUUAUUUCGUUAUAUUGUUCGAGAACUACUUGCCUGUACCGUAAUGAGACCAGUGAUAAAUUUAGCUAGCCCAAGGUAAGGAUACAUCUCAUUCUGCCUUCUAGAACUGCCAUGUUUUUGUUCUUUAUACAUUACCAAAUUUGGUGUCAGGUUUAUUAAUGAGAGGAUUGAAUCUCUAGUUCUUUCAAGAAGCAAAACUGUUAAAGGAAGUAAGGCGAUGCACGUGACAUCGCUAUCAAAGCCAAAUGAAUCGUCAAAGAUAUCAUCUGAUUUUUCUCAAUUUGGAGAUCCUUCCAUCAAGGGUCUUGAACUUGUAGAUUUGAAGAAGGACCAGUCUAAAAGUGAUGUUGAGAUUCCUGCUUCUGAUAAUAUGAACAGAAAACUUCUUUUCAAAGAUCCAUUACUUUCCCUUGAUACACGAUCCACUCAUUCUUGGAGUUCUUUACCUGAAACAAACAGUGGUGAGGGAAGAGGGUUGCAACAACACCACUCUGGUGGAGAAUGGGGAGACAUGCUAGAUGUGGUUUCCCGCAAAAAAAUUGAGGCCUUGGCUCCAGAAAAUUUUGAUAAUAUGUGGACAAAAGGAAGAAAUUAUAAAAGGGAGGAAGGUGCAGAUCGGCUGGCUGAUCCUAAGAAACACAGCUCUUCAGUGGGGGUAUCUAAUUCAAUGGAGCAGUCAAAAGUGCUCAGUGGACAGAAGAAAAAGGAAUUAGAAACUAAGGAUAUGUUUCUUGAGAGAGAUAUUUCUAAUUCUAUUUCUAGUCGAAAUAAACUCCCUGGGGCAGAGAAUAUGAUCAUGCCUGAUAAUUUGAAAAACCAAAGUGGCACAGCUAGUUCUUUAUAUGAAGAGAAAAAUGAACAUAAUGUUGUGAAUUCGGAAGAAUCAGGUAACAGUAGUUAUACUGAGGAUGAAGACACCAGCUGUGUUACAGGUCUUGAUUCUCCUGGGGUUAGAGUUUGGGAUGGUAAAAGUAAAAGAAACUCCAGUCACAUUCAUCAUCCUCUUGAGACACUGGAUGGCCAUAAUAGUAAAAAGAUGAGCACAGGCCGCCUCCACUCUCAAAGAAUGCAAAAAGCAAAAUCUGCCAAAAAAAGAUCUAGGUGUAGCAGUGAUAAUGGGCAUGCCUGGCAAGAGGUUGAGAGAACAAGUUUCUUAUUGGGAGACGGGCAGGAUUUACUGAAUUCCUCCAAAGGAAACAUUAAAUUUGAAGACUCCAGUGAUGACUCUGAGGCAGAACUGUUAGGUAGAAUACACAGUGGAGCAACAACUUCUUCAUCUGUGUCCUUGACUUCUUUACCCGAAAGUCAUAUUAUGGCAGCUAACUCCGCAAAAAAUUCAAUUAUUGCUGAUUCCUUUUUCAAGUUAAGAUGCGAGGUGCUCAACUCACCCGUUUAAUCUUCUUCCUGAAUGUAGUUUAAUGCUUUUAGAUGAGAAGAAAGUGAUUUCGCUUCUUGUUGCAGGUAUUGGGCGCCAAUAUUGUGAAGAGUGGGUCCAAAACAUUCGCGGUUUAUUCCAUAUCUGUUACAGAUGUAAAUAAUAAUAGUUGGUCUAUCAAAAGAAGGUGCCAACUUGUGCUGCAGACUUUCUGGUUAUAUAUUUCACGUGCUAUAAUGCCCCUUUAUAUGCUGUUUCGUUGUAGUUUUUUAUUAACUCGUAUCUAUGGUGAGAUGAUGUAAUAUGACAGUGAAUGUUGCUAACCAAUUAGGUUGUUCACGAUGACAGAUUUAGUCAUUUUGAGGAAUUACAUCACCGCCUUAAAGAGUUCUCUGAAUAUAAUCUCCACUUGCCACCAAAGCAUUUUCUAUCAGCUGGUCUAGAUGUUUCCAUCAUUCAACAACGUUGUAAAUUGCUUGACGAGUAUCUGAAGGUCAUACAUCUAACACCACUGGACAGUUUGACUUUUAUAGUUUGAUUUAGUUUGUCAUUUUGUUUGGCUCUUGCUAUAGCAUAAAAUCAAAUAUCCAUUUUGCUUUGAAGUUCGCUUGGGAAGUAUUUCUACAAUUUCCCCCCUUAUCAUGAUGUCCUUUGGCCUUUGCUUUAUUCUAGAGCAUGCUCUGUUAUGAGCAAUGGUCCCUUAACAUGUUACUGUUGCUUCUUUAUAUUAG
rnacentral:lncRNA from 1 species